CGUGAUUUGGGCUAUAUUACGGGGCAAAAAUAAUAUGUUCGCACAUUGUUUUCGAAUAUAUUUCAUGUAUCAAAGCUCUUAUAAACAAGAUAGGGUAUUCCUACAUAGCUGGUGGGACCCACAACAAAUUGAUCAUAAAGUCUUCAAAAAAGAAUAGAUACGAUUGCAUUGCAUGUAGUAACGAAUGCGAUCAUACCAGCACUAAUGCACCAGAUCCCAUAAAAAAACCGCAGUUAAGCGUGCUUGGGCGAGAGUAGUACUAGGAUGGGUGACCUCCUGGAAAGUCCUCGUGUUGCAUCCCUCUUUUUUUUUGGUUUUUCUCUUUUGUUUUGUCAAAAAUGUAUGACUCUAGAACUUUUAGACCGUGAGGCCAAACUUGGCAUGUGAUACCUUUUCGGAAAGCCCAAAUAGAGCUCUCCGAUGAAUGAGGAAGGAAAUGGAAUUCUUUAUGGGUUUUUUUCUACUCCAAAUUUUGACCCUUACAUACUUUUCGGGAAUCACU
rnacentral:rRNA from 1 species